GACGAACGCUGGCGGCGUGCUUAACACAUGCAAGUCGAACGGAAAGGCCCUGCUUUUGUGGGGUGCUCGAGUGGCGAACGGGUGAGUAACACGUGAGUAACCUGCCCUUGACUUUGGGAUAACUUCAGGAAACUGGGGCUAAUACCGGAUAGGAGCUCCUGCUGCAUGGUGGGGGUUGGAAAGUUUCGGCGGUUGGGGAUGGACUCGCGGCUUAUCAGCUUGUUGGUGAGGUAGUGGCUUACGAAGGCUUUGACGGGUAGCCGGCCUGAGAGGGUGACCGGCCACAUUGGGACUGAGGUACGGCCCAGACUCCUACGGGAGGCAGAGGUGGGGAGUAUUACGGAAUGGGCGGAAGCCUGAUGCAGCAACGCCGCGUGCGGGAUGACGGCCUACGAGUUGUAAACCACUUUCGCCGGUGACGAAGCGUGAGUGACGGUAAUGAGUAAAGAAGCACCGGCUAACUACGUG
rnacentral:rRNA from 1 species